CAUGCAGGCGGUCGGACGCGUUUCCAGUGACAGCGGGUGGCUUACCUACCCGAGUAUUGGAAAGACGGUUUGACUUGAGGACUCGAGAGGGACACGGAAUUCCGGGUGGAGUGGUGAAAUGCGUAGAGAUCCGGAGGAACAUCGAAGGCGAAGGCAGUGUCCUGGCGAGUGACUGACGCUGAGGUGCGAAAGCUAGGGGAGCGAACGGGAUUAGAUACCCCGGUAGUCCUAGCCGUAAACGAUGACCACCAGGUGUGGGAGGUAUCGACCCCUUCUGUGCCGGAGGCAACCCACUAAGUGGUCCGCCUGGGGAGUACGGUCGCAAGAUUAAA
rnacentral:rRNA from 1 species